UACAGUGUUUACCCCUUCUGGUGAGUUCAGCACUCAAAAUGACUCUUGGAGGACAGACAUACAGACACCACAUCUUGGCCUUAGACACCCAAGCUCACAGAAAGCUCAUCCAGCUCCCUCUUAGACAGUGCCAUUUUCCCAAAUAAGGAGAAUGACAGCUCAAAUGGGAUUCAACACUACAUCUCACAAAGUCAGCCCCUGAGACGGAGCCCGAACGUUACACCGGAACCGGAAACCUCCCGACUGCCCUAUGGCCUGCCGUCACUACAGACAUGGCCACCUCCAUGCUGCGGUCCUCUGACAUGUGACUCAUCAUACGUUUUUAGAAGGAAGCUACUGCACCCAAGGAUUGACUACUUAGUUCCAGAAAGAGCAAGUGAAAUGAUCCAACUGCUUCCACCAAGAGUUUGCUUACCCCUGAAUAAAACGUUUAAGAAAUGAAAUUAGUGUCAGUAUUUAAAUACAAGAUUUUAUAUAAAAAUUAGGUGCCUUUGUCACUUUUUCCCUCGCUGAGACACAAUACCGGAUAGCCACAAUUUAAAGAAAAACAGAUUAUUUUGGGUCAGUUUGUAG
rnacentral:lncRNA from 1 species